rnacentral:rRNA from 1 species
CAGCAGCCGCGGUAAUACGUAGGGUGCGAGCGUUAAUCGGAAUUACUGGGCGUAAAGCGUGCGCGGGCGGUUGUGUAAGACAGGUGUGAAAUCCCCGGGCUUAACCUGGGAACUGCGCUUGUGACUGCACAGCUAGAGUAUGGCAGAGGGGGGUGGAAUUCCACGUGUAGCAGUGAAAUGCGUAGAGAUGUGGAGGAACACCGAUGGCGAAGGCAGCCCCCUGGGCCAAUACUGACGCUCAUGCACGAAAGCGUGGGGAGCAAACAGGAUUAGAUACCCCUGUAGUCCCUGUCUCUUAUAC